UACGGAGGGUGCAAGCGUUAUCCGGAUUCACUGGGUUUAAAGGGUGCGUAGGUGGCUAUAUAAGUCAGUGGUGAAGGCCCGCGGCUCAACCGUGGAAUUGCCAUUGAAACUGCAUAGCUUGAGUACAGUUGAAGUGGGCGGAAUACAUCAUGUAGCGGUGAAAUGCUUAGAUAUGAUGUAGAACACCGAUUGCGAAGGCAGCUCACUAAGCUGUAACUGACACUGAGGCACGAAAGCGUGGGUAGCGAACAGG
rnacentral:rRNA from 1 species